rnacentral:rRNA from 1 species
CACGUAGGCACCAAGCGUUGUCCGGAAUUAUUGGGCGUAAAGAGCUCGUAGGCGGUUUGUUGCGUCGGCUGUGAAAUCCCGAGGCUCAACCUCGGGUCUGCAGUCGAUACGAGCAAACUAGAGUGUUGCAGGGGAGACUGGAAUUCCUGGUGUAGCGGUGAAAUGCGCAGAUAUCAGGAGGAACACCGGUGGCGAAGGCGGGUCUCUGGGCAACAACUGACGCUGAGGAGCGAAAGCGUGGGGAGCGAACAGG